AGUGAACGCUGGCGGUAGGCCUAACACAUGCAAGUCGAACGGCAGCACAGUAAGAGCUUGCUCUUACGGGUGGCGAGUGGCGGACGGGGGAGGAAUACAUCGGAAUCUACUUUUUCGUGGGGGAUAACGUAGGGAAACUUACGCUAAUACCGCAUACGACCUACGGGUGAAAGCAGGGGAUCUUCGGACCUUGCGCGAUUGAAUGAGCCGAUGUCGGAUUAGCUAGUUGGCGGGGUAAAGGCCCACCAAGGCGACGAUCCGUAGCUGGUCUGGGAGGAUGAUCAGCCACAAUGGAGCUGAGACACGGUCCAGACUCCUACGGGAGGCAGCAGUGGGGAAUAUUGGACAAUGGGCGCAAGCAUGAUCCAGCCAUACCGCGUGGGUGAAGAAGGCCUUCGGGUUGUAAAGACCUUUUGUUGGGAGAGAAACGCAGCAGGUUAAUACCCCGCUGUUCUGACGGUACCCAAAGAAUAAGCACCGGCUAACUUCGUG
rnacentral:rRNA from 1 species